GAGGAUGGGCAGCAAAUGUGAGAGGAAGAGGAGACUGGCUGGGGAAGGGAGAACCGGAGGGCAGCGAGAAGGGUGGGGAGAGAUACAGUGGCGGCUCCCCCAUCAUCCUAUGGAUUUAGAGCUUAGCGAGUGUCAAACCCGAUUCACUGUUCGCAAGCAUGAGGUGUGAGUCCUGAUGGGCAGAUGAGAUCAGCACCUGUCUGCCUGUCCCUGGGGGCUCCAGGGCCAGCACUGGGAGGCUCAGUCAGGCAUUAGCCGCUGUCACCAGAGGGCUCUGGUUAUUGCUAAGGGAGAGGAGGAGGCGGUGGGUGUGUCUCUCUCUCUCUGCUCCUGAUAUUAGAGGCUUGGAGUUGAGCUUCCUGGGUCAAACGCUGCUGCCUCCUGCAUUUUGAUGUGGGAGCGCAGAGUGAGCAGUUGCUGCUCCCAAGCGGGGUCUGUGCUGGGAAGAGACCUGCAUUAACCCUCUGUCUGUGCCCAGCCUGUGAAACCAGCCCCUGGGGCAGCCCUGGGCUCUGCUCACACCAGCCCCUGAGCUGCAGUGUUCAUCUCAGAGACUCUUGUGCCAGACAUGACAACAACCUGGGCAAACCUUAUGGAAUUAAAUGAAUCUGUAUUGAUUGAAGUGCUGAGGAAUCACGUCCACGUUUCGCUCCAGGAGACAGGGAAGGGAAAUGGCUGUGAUGGAGCCUGCUCAGGUAGGGGAUUUUCAGAGAGCUGCUGGUGCUUUUGUUGUGGAGGGGGAGGGGACAGGGUGUGAUAAAGCUGGUGGGACUCAUUCAGCUUGGGACCUGAUUUCUGAAACAGGAAACACCCCCCCUGGAGCCUGAACCCACUGGCCAGAGACUGCUGUGAAAUACGAAGGAAAGCUCUUGGGAUUCCUG